rnacentral:piRNA from 1 species
UAUUUAUUUAACUGUUUCUACUUCAGCCA